GGGAGUGUUUACACGGCUGGUGCCGGUCAUGGUCUUCAAAACCAUCGGGGGGUUUGACAAAGGCUCCCAGUAGAUUCGAUUUCUAUACACUCCCGCCA
rnacentral:tRNA from 1 species